rnacentral:rRNA from 1 species
CUGGGUUUGACAUGUUGGGGACAGCCGCAGAGAUGCGGUUUCCUUAUGGUCCCAUCACAGGUGGUGCAUGGCUGUCGUCAGCUCGUGUCGUGAGAUGUUGGGUUAAGUCCCGCAACGAGCGCAACCCUUGUCCUAUGUAGCCAGCGCGUAAUGGCGGGGACUCGUGGGAGACUGCCGGCGACAAGUCGGAGGAAGGUGGGGACGACGUCAAGUCAUCAUGCCCCUUAUGCCCAGGGCUGCAAACAUGCUACAAUGGCCGGUACAAAGGGCUGCGAAACCGUGAGGUCAAGCGAAUCCCAUAAAGCCGGUCUCAGUUCGGAUUGGAGUCUGCAACUCGACUCCAUGAAGCCGGAGUCGCUAGUAAUCCCGGAUCAGCAACGCCGGGGUGAAUA